GCUGAGUUGGUAAAGUAGAAGACUCUUAACCUUGUGGACGUGGGUUCAAGCCCCAU
rnacentral:tRNA from 1 species